rnacentral:rRNA from 1 species
UACGUAGGGGGCAAGCGUUGUCCGGAAUUAUUGGGCGUAAAGAGCGUGUAGGCGGUCCGGUAAGUCAGCUGUGAAAGUCAAGGGCUCAACCCUUGAAAGUCGGUUGAUACUGUCGGGCUAGAGUCCGGAAGAGGCGAGUGGAAUUCCCGGUGUAGCGGUGAAAUGCGCAGAUAUCAGGAAGAACACCCGUGGCUAAGGCGGCUCUCUAGUACGGUACUGACGCUGAGACGCGAAAGCGUGGGGAGCGAACAGG